rnacentral:rRNA from 1 species
CGCGGCCUAKCAGCUUGUUGGUGAGGUAAUGGCUUACCAAGGCGACGACGGGUAGCCGGCCUGAGAGGGUGACCGGCCACACUGGGACUGGGAUACGGCCCAGACUCCUACGGGAGGCAGCAGUGGGGAAUAUUGCACAAUGGGCGCAAGCCUGAUGCAGCGACGCCGCGUGAGGGAUGACGGCCUUCGGGUUGUAAACCUCUUUCGCCAGGGACGAAGCGCAAGUGACGGUACCUGGAGAAGAAGGACCGGCCAACUACGUGCCAGCAGCCGCGGUAAUACGUAGGGUCCGAGCGUUGUCCGGAAUUACUGGGCGUAAAGAGCUCGUAGGUGGUUUGUCGCGUUGUUCGUGAAAACUCACAGCUUAACUGUGGGCGUGCGGGCGAUACGGGCAGACUUGAGUACUGCAGGGGAGACUGGAAUUCCUGGUGUAGCGGUGGAAUGCGCAGAUAUCAGGAGGAACACCGGGGGCGAAGGCGGGUCUCUGGGCAGUAACUGACGCUGAGGAGCGAAAGCGUGGGGAGCGAACAGGAUUAGAUACCCUGGUAGUCCACGCCGUAAACGGUGGGUACUAGGUGUGGGUUUCCUUCCUUGGGAUCCGUGCCGUAGCUAACGCAUUAAGUACCCCGCCUGGGGAGUACGG